GUUAAUAUCGAGAUGCUGCAAUCACUUCCUUUGGUAAGAAAUAAAUACGGAGACAAGUGAAGGCAGGUUAUUAGUUUUGAGAGCACCCAAAGGAGUAUAGAGAAAGAGACGGAAAGCAGCCCACUACAAACCUAAGCCAAAAGAUGAAUCGUACUGCCCUGUUUCUAGUUUGUCUACUUGGAUUGAUGGUUUUCACACAGGCUAAGCCGUAUCGCCAUGAAAACCUGCAGGACAGGGAGCUCAGAGGUCUUCUUAAGAGAUGGUUACAAAAAAGGUCAUGCAAUGGCGAUCCAUGUGAUACUGAUGCAAAUUGCAUAUGUAACGGCCAUUUCCUUGCAUGCGUGGAAAGCCCUUCACCUUUCGGAUCUUCUAAGACUUGCGAGGACAACGGAUCGCUGCCCAACCCCCAGAGGAAGAAGUGAAAGGCGUAUGUCAACCCAAUGAAUCUUUUACCUGGCACCUAUAAUCAUCUUACCUGGAACUACAAGAAGAUCACUUUCUUUCUAAUCCUUGUAACUUCAACUAUUGUAAAUUAUAACCAAAUUACUUGUACUCGGAAUCUUAGAACCUUAUUUAUUUCGCACGUUUUAUUGAAAACAGGGCGUACACAUCAGUUAUUAUGGACAUUUGAGGUUCAUGUAUUUAUUUAAAGAAAAUAGAGCAAAGUAAAGCACAAGAUCGAUUGCUUGUAUGCUCAUAUCACAUCAUAUAAUGAUCGUCAUGUGAUAAUCACUAUGGUACUAAUAAUAAAUUGCACAUAUCUUGCAAA